rnacentral:rRNA from 1 species
AUUGAACGCUGGCGGCAUGCUUUACACAUGCAAGUCGAACGGUAGCGCGGGCUUCGGCCUGGCGGCGAGUGGCGAACGGGUGAGUAAUGCAUCGGAACGUGCCCAGUAGUGGGGGAUAGCCCGGCGAAAGCCGGAUUAAUACCGCAUACGACCUGAGGGUGAAAGCGGGGGACCGAAAGGCCUCGCGCUAUUGGAGCGGCCGAUGUCGGAUUAGCUAGUUGGUGGGGUAAAGGCUUACCAAGGCGACGAUCCGUAGCUGGUCUGAGAGGACGACCAGCCACACUGGGACUGAGACACGGCCCAGACUCCUACGGGAGGCAGCAGUGGGGAAUUUUGGACAAUGGGGGCAACCCUGAUCCAGCCAUGCCGCGUGCGGGAAGAAGGCCUUCGGGUUGUAAACCGCUUUUGUUCGGGAAGAAAUCCUCUGGGCUAAUACCCCGGGGGGAUGACGGUACCGGAAGAAUAAGCACCGGCUAACUACGUG